AUGAACGCUGGCGGCGUGCCUAAUCCAUGCAAGUCGAGCGAACAGACGAGGAGCUUGCUCCUCUGACGUUAGCGGCGGACGGGUGAGUAACACGUGGAUAACCUACCUAUAAGACUGGGAUAACUUCGGGAAACCGGAGCUAAUACCGGAUAAUAUAUUGAACCGCAUGGUUCAAUAGUGAAAGACGGUUUUGCUGUUACUUAUAGAUGGAUCCGCGCCGCAUUAGCUAGUUGGUAAGGUAACGGCUUACCAAGGCAACGAUGCGUAGCCGACCUGAGAGGGUGAUCGGCCACACUGGAACUGAGACACGGUCCAGACUCCUACGGGAGGCAGCAGUAGGGAAUCUUCCGCAAUGGGCGAAAGCCUGACGGAGCAACGCCGCGUGAGUGAUGAAGGUCUUCGGAUCGUAAAACUCUGUUAUUAGGGAAGAACAAAUGUGUAAGUAACUAUGCACGUCUUGACGGUACCUAAUCAGAAAGCCACGGCUAACUACGUG
rnacentral:rRNA from 1 species